AUGACAAGUCUCCAUUUUUCAUUUUUUAUGAACAUUCUAUCUGUUCUCACCACUAGGCCCAUGAACAAGGCAGUUCUCUCCGUCCUGUGCCUCGGAGCUCUUCUCCCACAGCUAUGUUCACAGAGACAAAGGACUCCCAGGCCCCGAGGGAUGACGGGGCCACAAAACAGAAGGUACCUGGGUCCCUAAUCAACGAGUAAAGGAAAGCCACCUGUCAACUGGGAACACUUGCGUUGGCCUUUUAGGUGAGGGAGGAGUACCUUCCUAGUGGGCAAAGAUGGUGACAAUGUUGGGUUUGUUUGUUAUAGCAGCUGGUGUCACAAGGACUAAUAAAGCUGUCACGGG
rnacentral:lncRNA from 1 species